GCCGAGGUGGCGGAAUUGGUAGACGCACGGGACUCAAAAUCCCGCGGUGGCAACAUCAUGAGGGUUCAAGUCCCUCCCUCGGCACCA
rnacentral:tRNA from 1 species